CCUACGGGAGGCUGCAGUAGGGAAUAUUGCUCAAUGGGGGAAACCCUGAACCAGCCAAGCCGCGUGAAGGACGAAGGUGCCAAGCAUUGUAAACUUCUUUUGUCAAGGGACAAAAUCAGGCUCGAGAGCCUGACCGAGGGUACUUGAAGAAAAAGCAUCGGCUAACUCCGUGCCAGCAGCCGCGGUAAUACGGAGGAUGCGAGCGUUAUCCGGAUUUAUGGGGUUUAAAGGGUGCGUAGGCGGACUGUUAAGUCAGCGGUAAAAGCCCGGGGCUCAACCCCGGCGAGCCGUUGAAACUGGCUGUCUUGAGAUGUCGAGAGGUAUGCGGAAUGCGCAGUGUAGCGGUGAAAUGCUUAGAUAUUGCGCAGAACUCCGAUUGCGAAGGCAGCAUACCGGCGGCGAUCUGACGCUGAGGCACGAAAGCGUGGGUAUCGAACAGGAUUAGAUACCCGGGUAGUC
rnacentral:rRNA from 1 species